AGGGUUUCGUCGGCAUCAAAGUGGCAAAGUUCAGAUUGAGGGAGAGGGUGAGAGAGAGAGAGAGAGAGAGAACUCCAUCAAGACGAACAAAAGGAUGCCUGGGCUUGGAAACUAUAGCAUGGAUAUGAAAACCGCAGUUUCGACUGGUGUGUGUAUGCGUGUGUGCGUGUGUCUGUGUGUGUCUGUAUGUGUGUGUGUGUGCCUGCGUGUAUUUUAAAGGUUUCUUUGAACUGCCUUUGUGCUGAGUCGGCGCUGCUUCUUGCCAAUGCAAGUCACGGUCAUACGAACUUUGUGUUAACCUUUUAUGUCGAAUGAAUCUUUUCAUUUGGAAAGCCAUAAAUCUCAUUCCGUAGCUCCUUUUGUGCAACGCGCUACGACUUAGUAAGCCAAGUGUGCGUUCAACAACAAAAAAAGUAGGAAAACAAAAGUUGCAACCGAUAGAAAGUAUAACUUUAAAAGCAAACAAAAAAAUCAGAUUCCAGUGUAAAGUGCGGGACUGGCUGAUCACAGGAGGCAUCGAGGAAGCAAUCGAAGUGGAAACGGAGCGCACACAUGCACAACCAUGAGGAUAUCGAAAGGGAAUCCUUCAUCUCGAGUUGGCAUAUAUUUGCAGUUUUCGUUUUCGCAAAACAAAAGGAAAUUUGUUCGUCAAUUAAUGCCCAACAAUGUCUCCACACCUGUCGUUCAAAGAGUUCAGGCACCAAGUGGACGCCAUGAACAGACCAACCCGUGCUUCUGCUGGUCCUAUAAUCCUGUGGCAUGUGCUGAUGACAUCACAUGAUGUCCAUUGCCGGCAACAUCUAGUUCCCUGCAACUGUCAUUUAAUGUUGCAAGCAAAUGAAAAAUGACUGAGAGACUCACUGGCUCCCAGAAGUGACCUUGAGUAUUAUUAGAAUGACCUCCCAUCGGUUUGACCAGAAGACCUUUGAUAUCUGCAUGAAGAAAAUAUACGAGUGAGAUGCCUGGUCUACCGAUAGAAAGGACAAUGAUCAGCGAGAAUAGCACAAUGCUGAAGCGAAGUUGCAGCUCAUGGCUGCCAACAUUGAAAAGUGAUCGCUGUACAUAACGUGAAUCACUGUAUCCAUUGCUCUGAGAAUUGUGUUCUUUAAUGCAAAUCUUUAUAUGUAUAUAAAAACAUUCAUUUAAAAGGCCCCAGGCUUGCAUAGGAUACACACGCGCGCGCGCGCGCGCACAUAGAGAAAUAUUUCUCGGGCCCCUGUCGGUUGGAAAUGAAUCUGACAGUCAAUAGAGUUCCACUCCUCCCAACGCACUUUCUGUUACAGACUUUCUCAAGCCAUAGUCAGGAAGAAAACUGUAAGGGAAGUCACAUGUUUUGAAUGGUUGGUUCAUGGAGUAGACCAAAGCUUUUCUUGAUCAAAAAUUAUAAGUAAGUCGAAUUCUUUGAUGUAAUCAGCUUUUCACGUAGUCCCUUCCUUCCCGAAGCAAAGUCUAAAUACUACUGUGCUCUAAUCAGCUCAGACACUCUAAGCACUUCCCACGACUAAUUCGAUAUCCUGAAAACAAAUUACUGAAGACUGAUUACGGGAGGGAAGGUUAGGUCUACUGCUGUGCUUUCACCCACUGCUUCGGUCAUCUCUCUCCGUCAGUCGCUUCCUCCCUUCUCCAUAUUUCAUACGAUUUUUAAUAAUAGUCUCCCCUGCCUCUUUUCCAGAUUCCAACCCCUUUCUUCCUCUUUAAGUAGUUUUUCCUCGAGUUUCUUGACUUUUUUCUUGGUUUCUGUGCUUUACCCACCAUUGUGCCAAACUGAAGCACACCUUACUUUGUGUUUGCAUUUUGAGGCUAUUAAUGAACUCACUCUCGUCGAUUGUUCUCCCUCCGCUGUGUAUCCUGGUGGUAACAAUACAUAGUAGAUGUGAUGUCAUGUACAAUUAGGCUUUGUUCACAAGCGCAGACAUCCCUAACCCCAAAAUGCAUCUAUUCGGGAUAUUUGACACCAGCAAAAUUCUCAACUGCAAAGCUAAUCCCGUCAUUGUUCAAAUAAAAUCAGCCAUUUCGUUGAUUCAGCCAGGGGCUAACAAUUCACCAUAACUGGUAUUAUUACAAAAUCAGAGGGCCCACCUCCUCAGUACAACACAACCCAUAGGGUCCAUACCUACCUACAAUUAGCUACAUACAUGAAGCUGCGUACCACAUGCAAACAUUUGCAGCAGUAAAGGGUCUCUCUGUUCAUCCCCUCCCCACCUCCCAAAUCACCUCGGCAUCCUGCCUCAUCCCACUCCCACCCUCCCCAAUCCCUUUCUCAAUAUAAAGCAAGCUGUUCACUUUUAAUCCAUCUUGAAAUUAAUACCGAUAUUGUCACGUGCAGAUUGUGACCGUGGUGUACUUGAGUUGAGCUAAAGCCUUUUCCCCUACGUGCGUUGGCCAGUAUGAUAAAGUGGUUCCUUUCGAAAUGGAGCGUGCUGAAUUACGUAUGUUACAAAGUUGGAAAAAGAGAUCUUUCAAAGGCAGCAUAUUCAAUCCAAUCAAAUAAUAUUGUGAUCUUCAUCUGUGACAAUAUAGAACCCUAAUUAAAUAAACACAUGGGAAGCAGUAGAUCUGCCUUUCUUUCGUUUCAUAGCUGCAUUUUCAUUGUGUAUGUUGUUCAUUGUCCACAUUCAUUGUGUAUAUGGUUCAUACUGAGCAUAUAAGAAAAAAGUUAGGAUGGUAAAAUGCACAGCCUUUAACGUCAUCGAAAAAGCAAGGAUUGUGCAGACUGGCCACUAUAGUUUGUAAAUUAUAGUAUUCAAAAGUCACCAAAUACUUAAAGGGGUUAAGCAAGAAGAGCAAGGACAUGCAUUUCACAAUCAUUGGGAUCAAAGCAAUGCUGAUUCUCUGCUUUGGUUGUUAGGAAAACUUACAACAAGAGACUCGUUAACACCUUAAGGUUCACCUUGUCCCCUAUCGUUAAUCUAUCACAAAUCAGUAGAAUGGGAUCCAUAGAAAGUGGCUUUAAAACUAUAUUUUUGUGAUCAGCGAUCAUUCAUCACGUCAUAUGUUUACGAACGGAGGUUAGGGUAAUUUCUCACGUUAAACCAGCAAACAAUAUGUACACGAGGACAAGUCUCCCAUAAUGUAGAGUUGCAACAACUUUCUUGUUGUAUUCUUACGAGUAUUCUCUGCGGGUGAUUACAAAAAAAAAGCACCCGCAGAUAUAAAUUGAACUAAAAUGUGCUUGACCGAAGGGUGGACAUCGCAGGAAUGCUUGGUUGAGCACAGUCAUCCCUUUCUGCAUUAUAAUGUGUGAUCUGGGAAACCUAUCAAUUUAUUUCUGUGCACUUUGAACAGAGUGAAGGCUUUGCUCAGUCAAGGCGAAGGUGACAAACCUUUUGGGGUAACAGAAUGUAUGAUUCGCUUCUUUUCCAUUAGACUAUGGGUCAGAAAGACUGUCGAUAAUGGAUGCUCCCAGUGAGCGAUUAAAACAGGUUCCAAGAGGGCAUCGAAUGACUAUUUAAAUAGAAACAAUGUACAAGGUUUGGGGGAAGCCAGUUUAACACGAAGUCAAAAUGCUCAGAGGACCGGUACAGACACGAUGGACAGAAUAACCUCCUUGUACGGUUACAAUCCCGCGACUCUGUGAAUAAAACAAAAACAAAAUUAGUUAAAUCUAAAGGUCAGUACAGCUGUCACCAUGUCUUUAACGAACAAAAGGACAAGACACAUUACUGGAGAACAGCACAACUUUUGUAUCAAUGAAUUCACUUUCUGUGGAUUUUUCGUUCACUGAUCCAAAGCUGCUAAUCCCUCUCUGCCGAGAACAUUCUCUCUCCGUAAGUUUUCUCUCACCCCCACACCCCAACCCCCAUCAAUAAAAUGAAACCUGCUUUCAGUAACUAAUUGGGUCGGUUAUUGUCUGUGUUCAAUGUUUUUCGUCAGGACCCGAGUAGAGACGGGAUUUCUGGAACUCUAUUGCCUGCUUUCCAAAUAAUGUUAGACAUUAUCUGUUAGCAUUACACAGGAAUCAAAGCUCAGAAAAUAUAUUCAUUCAUUUUUAUUCAGAUUUGAUGACAGUAAAAAUGCCAGAUUGGAAUAGCAG